AGAUAAGGAGNAUCCUACGGGAGGCAGCAGUGGGACUCCUACGGGAGGCAUUUGCGGGACUCCUACGGAAGGCAGCAGUGGGACUCCUACGGGAGGCAGCAGUGGGACAGUUGGCUCAGAACGAACGCUGGCGGCUGGCUCAGAACGAACGCUGGCGGCCCCACUCCUACGGGAGGCAGCAGUGGGACAGUUGGCUCAGAACGAACGCUGGCGGCUGGCUCAGAACGAACGCUGGCGGCCCCACUCCUACGGGAGGCAGCAGUG
rnacentral:misc_RNA from 1 species